GAACCAAAGAAGGGUCUUUCCCUCGGCCACAUUCAAAGCUGGCACCCAUUAUGGAUGAUUUCAUAAGCGGGAACAGCCAGCAUACCUAACGCAACAUGAACUGCCUCCAAAAUCAGAGGCUUAUCAGGGACUGUACCUCUUUCUAGGGGUGGUCCUAUUAUCUUAUUCCAUCAGUAAGUGGAUCAGUGUGAUAUUCUGUAGAAGGGUGAGAUGAUCAAGAUGCUUAAAGAUUUAAUUAUGAUACAAAGAUGGAGAAUUAGCUUAGCUCUAGGUGAAUACAGGAAAGAUGCAUAACUGUUCCUUCCAGAUUCCAAGAUGCAUAAUUUUUCACGUUGAACAUCUCUAAACUUGGGAUGGAUCUCAAAACCACUGUUUUAUCAGUUAAUGGCAGUGUUGUUUCCGUGUCUUUUUGGCUCAUGCGACAAUGGCUCCUUUUGCAACACUGCUCCGGGUCUAAGAAUACUUUGGUAAGGUCUGCAAUCUGAUGCCAAACCAUGAUUGCCAAGUGUAUUCCAGACAAUGCCAGAAUGUCAUUUACCUUUAUUCAAUUAUGAAAUGACAAGAGGUGUCUUUCCAAGUCUAUCCAUAAAGCUCUCAUUGUUCUUGUCCAUCAUG